rnacentral:rRNA from 1 species
CCUACGGGUGACAGCAGUGAGGAAUAUUGGUCAAUGGGCGCGAGCCUGAACCAGCCAAGUAGCGUGAAGGAUGACUGCCCUACGGUUUUUAAACUUCUUUUAUAAAGGAAUAAAGUGAGGCACGUGUGCCUUUUUGUCUGUGCUUUAUGAUUAAGGAUCGGCUAAGUCCGUGUCAGAAGCCGCUGUAAUACUGAUGAUCCGAUCGUUAUCCGGAUUUAUUGGGUUUAAAGGGAGCGUAGAUGGGUUGUUAAGUCAGUUGUGAAAGGUUGCGGCUCAAACGUAAAAUUGCAAGUGAUACUGGGAGACUUGAGUACAGGUGAGGAAGGCGGAAUUCGUGGUGUAGCGGUGAAAUGCUUAGAUAUCACGAAGAACACCGAUUGCGAAGGCAGCUUACUAAACUGCAACUGACAUUGAUGCUCGAAAGUGUGGGUAUCAAACAGGAUUAGAUACCCUAGUAGUC